GCCUAGGUGGCUUAAUCAGUUGAGCAUCCGACUUCAGCUCAAAUCAUGUUUCGAAGUUUGUGAGUUCGAGUCCCACAUUGGGCU
rnacentral:tRNA from 1 species